GAUCCUGGCUCAGGAUGAACGCUAGCUACAUGCUUAACACAUGCAAGUCGAGGGGAAACGACAUCGAAAGCUUGCUUUUGAUGGGCGUCGACCGGCGCACGGGUGAGUAACGCGUAUCCAACCUGCCCAUCACUUGGGGAUAACCUUGCGAAAGUAAGACUAAUACCCAAUGACAUCCCACGAAGACAUCUGAAUGGGAUUAAAGAUUUAUCGGUGAUGGAUGGGGAUGCGU
rnacentral:rRNA from 1 species